UACGUAGGGGGCAAGCGUUGUCCGGAAUCAUUGGGCGUAAAGAGCGUGUAGGCGGCCCGAUAAGUCCGCCGUGAAAGUCCAGGGCUCAACCCUGGAAUGCCGGUGGAAACUGUCGGGCUGGAGUCCGGAAGAGGCGAGUGGAAUUCCUGGUGUAGCGGUGAAAUGCGUAGAUAUCAAGAGGAACACCUGAGGUGAAGACGGGUUGCUGGGCCGACACUGACGCUGAAGCGCGAAAGCCAGGGGAGCGAACGGG
rnacentral:rRNA from 1 species